rnacentral:lncRNA from 1 species
AUUAUAUGUAUUUCAGCUGACACGCCAAAGGAGAGCUGCCCUAUUACUGUCUCUCCUUAAUCCUAACACGCAACUCCGCCAGGUAAUAAUGUAAUGCAAAAGGUAUUGUUAUAUAUGUACUGAGCAUAUGUUACACGUCUACAUUGGUAUUUCUCCGUACUUAGUAAUAAGUUGAAGAUCAAACAUACAUGUUCAAGUUAAGCUUAAGUCCAAUUCAAGGUUCAAAGGAGUGCGAGCCCACGUCAUGUGUUCAUGCCAGCUGAAUUCAGGAUCAUAGUUUGUUACAACAAUAUGAACCCAAGAUCAAGCUAUAAAAAAUCGUUGACUCAUGCUCAAUGUUUUAAUUCGAGAUCAAGCAUUUCAGCACUUGAAUUAGAAGCCAAACCCAUCAAAUUAAAUUCAAAAUAAAGCAUUCCAGGACUUGAAUAAUUAAUGUGAUUCCUUGCGGAUCCACUAUGGAUCCAAACGAUUUAAUCCGUAUGAGAUUGUCAUAAAAUCUUGAAGUCUUUCCUUUUCUUCUUAGUUGAGUACUGCUUGUUAUUAAAUUUGUAUUACUGUAAUAUAUACUAAAACCAGUGAUCAUAUUCCAGAAAUCUUAUUUAAUCGUGCAUUUUCAUAAACUAACUUACAAUGAACAAAAAUCAGGGGCGACCCUCAUAUAUCACUUCUCACAAAACUUGUAUAAUCCAUUUUUGUUAUUAAACUUCAGAUUUUUCUGUGGAUGCUCGACACUAAAUUUCUACCACUUGUUUUUGUGUUUCACUAGGAGAACUUCUGCUGACAACAUUGAUGCUUGAAAUUAUCUGAUGAACUGUAUUUUUUGGCGUUGUUCGUGGCUGGAAAUGAUACAAGUGAAUUCGUUGGUUUUUAUAAAGAAAUUUUUACAAACCACUAUUGCAUAGUGGUUAUUAGUUAGUUGUAGCUACCAUUUACUAUAUUACUUUCUAUAUCUAUAUUUUCAGGUUUUUUAGAGUAUAUUG